rnacentral:rRNA from 1 species
CUGAAUGGGGCAACCCAACUGAUACUUUGUUAUUGUUACACUUUGUGUAAUCAAUAAUGGGGUAAAACAGUUAUUAAUUACCUGAAUACAUAGGGUUUUUAAAGCAAACCUGGGGAACUGAAACAUCUAAGUACCCAGAGGAAAGGAAAUCAAUAGAUACUCCCGUAGUAGUGGCGAGCGAACCGGGACCAGCCGAGCAAUGAAUGUGACUAGAACCAGUUGGAAAGCUGGGCGAUAUGGGUGACAGCCCCGUAUAGGAAGCAUGAUUUGACGUAUUAAGUAGGGCGGAACACGUGAAAUUCUGUCUGAACAUGGGGGGACCACCCUCUAAGGCUAAG